GCUGUUGUUGUGUCGGCCGGAACGCGUAUUCCAGUUUUCUUCGUGAAAUUUUUAUGUGCGACGUCGUCGUUAGCAGUUUUCAAUCCUAGGAAAAUGUGAAUGAAAUGGGAAGACAAUGACGAUGCCUUUGAAAGCGGACAACAGUAGAUUUGGACGUGCACGAGGACGCUGAAAACCCAGAAUGAGGGUCCACAUUUGACAUUCCACGAUGCUGCAUUUGACUUUCAAGACGGAUGUUCGGCAUGCGAUUCCCCCCUGAAGUCUUCUCUGGCCACUCCACUUUUUCACCCUUCUUGCUGUGGCCCUGUCUUCGUCUGCCCACGUACACCGGUUGUAGCCAUAGCCACGGUGCCAGCACGGAGUAGGAAAGUCUCCCGGGUCCAAAAGGAAUGGUCCUGUCAAGUCGGUUGGCAGUUGCGUUCAGGAACCUUACAGAGCGGAAGGGGAACACGAUGGAAAGUGCUGUUGUGACGCCCUACAGCUGGCUAACCUUUUAGUGACUUCCUGCUUUCGGAGAGAAGCACCUUCAGAAUUUCGUUAGGAAGCAACGCCAAGGGGAGUGUAGCCUUUUUUUGCAUUUGUUGGGAACAGACAAUAGUGCUCAUAAUUGAUUGAAAUUCUCCACUCGUAUACUCUAGACACUGCUCUUUAUUUGAGCCGCGCAGAAAGAGACAACUUUUAAAUUUCUCCAUG